AUUUAUAUAGUUUAAAUAAAACAUUACAUUUUCAAUGUAAAUAUAAAAUUUUAUUAUUUUUAUAAGUA
rnacentral:tRNA from 1 species